UAGCUUUUGUUAAUAAAAUUUAUUUUAUUACCCUUGUGUCUUCCUUGUGGUGAUAAUGCAGUAAAGGUUCUACAUGUUAGAUAUCCCACCAAUCUUUCUAAUGUGAUGUACUCUUAACCACACCUUGAGGGACACAUGAUCCAAAAAUCAUAACGUCACCUGUGACGUGACUGAGUACCCAUCACUACACUAUUUUGCCUCCUUAGGUUGGCGAAAGCAAAAUUCACUACAGCACACUAUUUAUACAUUUAUUUAUCUUACACACAUACUUAGUCUACAUUUCAAAUUUGCACAUAAUAUACCUGUACAUACAAAACUGUCUAUUGUAAUAUACCUGUACAUACAAUUGUCAAUUUGUAUAUUGUUAUUCCCUACUUACUUGUUCUAUUUUUUAUUUUUAUUUUAUUAUCUGUGUUUUUGUUCUGUCGCUGUCAUUCUGUUGCACUGUGGAAGCUUCUGCCACGAAAACAAAUUCCUUGUAUGUGUAAACAUACCUGGCAUUAAAGCUCAUUCUGAUUCUGAUUCUGAUUCUGAGUGCACUAAUUCUCGCGAGAUUCAGACGUAUGUAUACUUAAUUUGCGUUCUAAUAUGCCUACUUACCUACUAUAUAGCAGGGGGAAAAAAGAGUAUGUGAAGAAAGAAGUAUGUUCAAAACCUCAGUAUUCAUACAAGAGUAGGCGAGAAAUCCCCGGAUGUCCUACUGCUUCGGCCCAGAUUCUGGAGUGUGCAUCGAUAAGACACUUUUGUAUCCCAGGAGGCAACGGGAGAGGAUACGUCAUCAUCGAACGUGAUGGAGAACAGCGACGAGGGUGUUCACAAAUGUGAGUAUUACAAACCAAAAACACGGUUCCCUGUGUUAAAAUCGCGUUUGUUGAGCUUAAGGUGCAAAGAUGCUGAACGGUACAGUAUAUUUGUGAUUUUUAUAGUAGAUUUUUAUGUGCAGUUAUAGUAGAAUUCACUGUUGUCAAUACUGCUUUACAUUAGAAAAAUGUAAGUAAUGUUAAUAUUACAAAUCUACACAAAUUUAUUACAAAUCUACACAAAGUAACUAAACAUGACUUAUCUGUUUUAUUUGUCCAUCAUUACUGCUGAUAAAUUGAGGAGCAUUUGCGUUGAAUAAAAAGUGAGUUAACACUUGAUAUAAAUGUAAUAUUGAGCACAUAAAUCACAGCUGUAACUUGUCUCUUGUCUGGAUGUUACAGGGACAGAGACACUUGUGUUUAUCCGGUGCAGACUGAUGGAGGAAUGCUGCCACCAAAGGCUUUGAAGCUUUUGUGGAGGAGCAGGUGACAUUUGUGGAAAAAAAGGAAAACCUGAAACAACAAUAUAAAGAUCUGAAAUGUCUGCAGACUGGUGUGAGCAGUGAGGAUGGAAAAGUUCACAGCAGCAUCCUGGAAAUGGUAUAGUGCCAUGGAUGAGACGCUCUAUCACUCCACCUGCCCUUACUGCCUCAUCUGGGCCAGAUGUUACUGUGAUCUCUUCAUCCUCCGUGACCCCAGAGCCAGCGAGAACAU